rnacentral:rRNA from 1 species
UACGUAGGUGGCAAGCGUUGUCCGGAAUUAUUGGGCGUAAAGCGCGCGCAGGCGGUCCUUUAAGUCUGAUGUGAAAGCCCACGGCUCAACCGUGGAGGGUCAUUGGAAACUGGGGGACUUGAGUGCAGAAGAGGAAAGCGGAAUUCCACGUGUAGCGGUGAAAUGCGUAGAGAUGUGGAGGAACACCAGUGGCGAAGGCGGCUUUCUGGCUCAUUACUGACGCUCAGGCGCGAUAGCGUGGGGAUCAAACAGG